AAGGAACCAGCAAUAGGAAUUGAUCCAAAGGUCCCUGAUUAUAAAACUAGCUGAUCACAAUAAAAAAACAUAAAUUAUCACCUCAUUCCUACAUACAUAUACAGCGUCAAGUUCUGGAUCGCUCAAAUCUCCAGUGCCUAGAAAAGAUGACAUCAGGGACCUCCUUGCUCCUUCUGCUUCUUCUGUUCUGUGGACGACCAACUGCAGGAAAUGCUUUGCCAAAAACUUCAACUAACACUUAUGUACCAACAGUGAAGCCGGGGGUGUGUCCUCAAGUCACUUUUCCAGAUAAGUGUCCCGAUGAACCGCCACCUUCAAACUACUGCAAAAACGAUUUAGAUUGUCCUGGAGACAAGAAAUGCUGUUCAUUUCCCUGCAACGAAAUAUCAUGUUUUUGAUGAAUGGUUGGAAGAUUAUCGGCAAAUAAAGUCUUGACCAAGGAUAACCUCAGAAGGAUAGGCUUCCUCGUAUUGUAGAUCUGCAGUGAUCAGUGGAUCAUGGAUCGGCCUCUAUAUAUCUGUCAUAUAAACUUGUCUUGUGCGUUGCAAAUGAUUAGGGUUAUUGUUCUCUACCGCCAUGAUCAGUUUCGCUUAUCACUGAUUGUGACAUUCUGCUUUUAUAAAUUUAUUAACACAUUUAUAGGUUGUACAAGAAGAAAUUUCUGAUCAGAAAAUCUGUAGAAUUUAGAUUGAUUGGAAUGUGACUCUUUCCUUACAUCAGAUCUGGAGGUUCCAGAGUCAGUUUCUGUAAUCAGGCUUAGCUUCUCCGUCUUCUAUUAAUAAAUCGGUGAGAUGCAGGGAUGAGA